CUUGAUGGAGCCCAGCAACAGCGGGUGAUGGCCUUCCCGGCCCCGCCCAUACGUUGCGAGCAGGGCCUGGGCCUC
rnacentral:antisense_RNA from 1 species